rnacentral:rRNA from 1 species
UCAACCUUCCCUACAGUGGGGGAUAACUAGCCGAAAGGUUAGCUAAUACCGCAGUGAGAUCUUCGAGUGGCAUCAUUUGAAGAUGAAAGGAGCAAUCCGCUGAAGGACGGGACCGCGUCCCAUUAGCUAGAUGGUGGGGUAAUGGCCUACCAUGGCAACGAUGGGUAGCUGGUUUGAGAGAGCGACCAGCCACACUGGGACUGAGACACGGCCCAG